AUUGAACGCUGGCGGCGUGCUUAACACAUGCAAGUCGAUCGGUAACGCGGGGGCAACCCUGGCGACGAGAGGCGGACGGGUGAGGAACGCUUGGGAAUCUGCCUAUCAGCGGGGGACAACACGGGGAAACUCGUGCUAAUACCGCAUACGCUCUACGGAGGAAAGCCGGGGACCGCAAGGCCUGGCACUGAUAGAUGAGCCCAAGCCGGAUUAGCUAGUUGGCGGGGUAACGGCCCACCAAGCCGACGAUCCGUAGCUGGUCUGAGAGGACGAGCAGCCACACUGCGACGGGAACACGGCCCAGACCCCUGCGGGAGGCAGCAGUGGGGAAUAUUGGACAAUGGGGGAAACCCUGAUCCAACGACGCCGCGUGGGUGAAGAAGGCCUGCGGGUUGUAAAGCCCUUUCGGUAGGGACGAAAGCUCUCGACCUAACACGUCGGGAGGUUGACUUAACCUACAAAAGAAGCACCGGCUAACUCUGUGCCAGCCGCCGCCGUAACAC
rnacentral:rRNA from 1 species